rnacentral:lncRNA from 1 species
CGCUGUGCCCUAUAGGGGAAGCUGUGCCCUAUGGGGGGUCGCUGUGCCCUGUAGGGGAAAGCUGUGCCCUAUGGGGGAGCUGUGUCCUAUAGGGGAAAGCUGUGCUCUAUGGGGGAGCUGUGUCCUAUAGGGGAAAGCUGUGCCCUAUGGGGGAUCGCUGUGCCCUAUAGGGGAAAGCUGUGCUCUAUGGGGGAGCUGUGCCCUAUGGAGGAAGGCUGUGCCCUAUGGGGGAUCGCUCUGCCCUAUAGGGGAAAGCUGUGCCCUAUGGGGGA